rnacentral:sRNA from 1 species
ACACUCUCCAGCCCCGGCAGAACAGAAGCUGCAGCCACGUGGGCAUGUCACCUCUGCAUCCAGGUUUUCCCUCUACAGUCUUGGCCCCUGGGAUCAUAGCCUUGCUCACGUUCUCCUGUUGGCCCCUCUUGAGCAGAAGUGUCUUUUAAACACGGCACAUACUGAGCCAGCCUAUCAUUAAUUCUCACUGCACUGUUACUAUAACAACAGUACCAAGGUGGCUGUGAAAACCCUGAAGCCAGGCACUAUGUCUGUGCAAGCCUUCCUGGAAGAAGCCAACCUCAUGAAGACCCUGCAGCACGACAAGCUUGUGAGGCUCUACGCUGUGGUCACCAGGGAGGAGCCCAUUUACAUCAUCACCGAGUACAUGGCCAAGGGUAGUUUGCUGGAUUUCCUGAAGAGUGAUGAAGGUGGCAAAGUGCUGCUUCCAAAGCUCAUUGACUUUUCUGCUCAGAUUGCAGAGGGAAUGGCAUACAUCGAGCGGAAGAACUACAUUCACCGGGACCUGCGAGCAGCUAAUGUCCUGGUCUCCGAGUCACUCAUGUGCAAAAUUGCAG